UCUACACUACUCAGAUUUACAUCUCAGUUUGCUUAUAAUUCAAACCUUUCAUUGCCUCUCUCUUUCCCCUUUCCCCUCUCCAUGUGUGCGAUUCUUCGAAACUCCAGAUCCUACACCUUGAACUUCAAUCUCUAUUUUGUCUCUUCUCCUUCCUCUCAUUCAAUCUGAUAACCAGUCGCUACCUCUCAGCUCUUUUUAUGGCUGACUCCUGGGCGAGGCUCUCAAUCGGCAAACAGUUGUCAUCUCUUUUUUUGUGUGCUUCCUCUCCAGACACAAAAGAGGGGUUUGGCCGAUCUUGGUUAGAGACAGUUUCGGCACCGAACUUAAUCCAAGUAAGCAUCUUUCCAUUCAUGUUAACGGUAAAAUUGACAUAGAUAUGGAGAAAUACUAUUAUAUCAAAUACCAAUUCCAAUUAUAUCGGCAAAAUACUGCAAUAACAUUCACAUACUGGGCAAAAAAAAUUGUUUACUUAUCUGGGCUGUGGGCUGGACGUUUGAGAUUAUUAUGGAGCAGAGUAAACAUGAUUCGAAAAUGGAAUAAAUCAAGGAUUGAAUGAAUGGAAUAUGUCCAUAUUAGCUUCAGCGAUCUAUUUUCGAUGCUGUCAUGCUCUUGCCUCUUGGUAUUGCCAUUGUGAUUGGGCUAAUGCCUUUUUUUUCACGUUCCAUUGAUCUCUUGAGAGUCACCAGGGGUAACUAAAAGCUCUUAUUCCACCAUAAGUAUAAAUGUUUAUAUAUAGAUUGUGAUUAGUAGUUCACAGCAAUAUUAAACCAGCUCUUGAUCAGUAUCAUCUUUUAUUUUAGUCAAUAGGUAGAAUUUGGUUUAAUCUUUUGAAACACAGUUGGAUUGGAAAGAUUCAUCAUAUAACUGACAAACAAGCAUGAUUCCAUUUGUCGACUAUAUAUUUGGGUAGUGAUUGAUAUAUGUGUGUGCUAGAAGAUGCUUAGAAUAAUAGUAGGUAAAUCCACCGAUAAUGAGCCUUGGAUAUAAAGCUUUUGAUUCGUAAGUGGAAGUUACAUUUGCAACUAAAUCCACAUUUUCAAUGAAAAACAAACAUUACAGAUAUAGUAAAAGCUUCAACAGUAAGGUAUUGAGACACCCAUAUCAAACCAGGAGCUCCCCUUCCUUGAUGGAACAACACCC
rnacentral:lncRNA from 1 species